AGCGAACGCUGGCGGCAGGCCUAACACAUGCAAGUCGAACGAAGUCUUCGGACUUAGUGGCGGACGGGUGAGUAACACGUGGGAACGUGCAUUGAGGUUCGGAAUAACUCAGGGAAACAUGUGCUAAUACCGAAUGUGCCCUUCGGUGGAAAGAUUUAUAGCAUUUAGAGCGGCCCGCGUCCGAUUAGCUAGUUGGUGAGGUAAAGGCGCACCAAGGCGACGAUCAGUAGCUGGUCUGAGAGAAUGGUCAGCCACAUUGGGACUGAGACACGGCCCAAACUCCUACGGGAGGCAGCAGUGGGGAAUCUAGCGAAAUGGGCGAAAGCCUGACGCAGCCAUGCCGCGUGAAUGAUGAAGGUCUUAGGAUUGUAAAAUUCUUUCACCGGGGACGAUAAUGACGGUACCCUGAGAAGAAGCCCCGGCUAACUUCGUGCCAGCCGCCGCAGUAAGAC
rnacentral:rRNA from 1 species